GGAAUAUUGCCCAAUGCGCGAAAGCGUGAGGCAGCAACGCCGCGUGCGCGAUGAAGGCCUUCGGGUCGUAACGCGCUUUUCGGAGGGAUGAAGGCAGCAAGGCUUGACAGUACCUUCGGAAUACGGGACGGCUAAAUACGUGCCAGCAGCCGCGGUAAAACGUAGGUCCCGAGCGUUAUCCGGAUUUACUGGGCGUAAAGCGCGUUCAGGCGGUGGGCUAAGUCGGGCAUGAAAUCUCUCGGCUCAACCGGGAGAGGCUGUCCGAGACUGGCUCGCUUGAGGGCAGUCGAGGGAGGUGGAAUUCCGGGUGUAGUGGUGAAAUGCGUAGAGAUCCGGAGGAACACCAGUGGCGAAAGCGGCCUCCUGGGCUGCCCCUGACGCUGACACGCGAAAGCUAGGGGAGCGAAC
rnacentral:rRNA from 1 species